GUGUGAAGGUGUCUGUAUUUAAAACAUGAGCAGCAGUGUUUUAUCCGAAAUAAAGAUGGUCUGAUAAAACACGCACUGCGAAUGUCUUAAUUCUAGUAAGUUCAUUGGAGAAAUAACUUUCAAAAAAUUCGUUGUGUAUGUCCAAGGAAAUCUCUAUCGCAUAUAAAGAUACGACACGUUUAUGAUUUUUCUUUGCGUUUUCCUCAUGAAUUAUUAAUGACUUUUUGAAGCUAUUUUAGACAACAGUCACAACACAGAGCUUUUAUCCUUUAAAAGUCUUCUGAACCACUAACAGUUGAGCGUGUUUUGAAAUGUUAAUAUUCUUUAUAAAAUCAUCGGCCAACUUCAUAUAGCUGCAAUACCAAGUAAUGUAGCCUCAACAAAGAUCAAGACAACUAUAAGAAAUAUUCGAUCCCUGCUCGUGCUGGCAUCAGACGAUCAGAGCUAUUAAAAUAGCAUGUAGCAAGCUUAAAUAAUUUGCCGAUAUAAAUGUAUAAUUGAAACUCAAACUUCUCCGCAUCCCGUAGGAAGAAUCGCGAUAACCGGCGUCUUCAACAUACGUAGCAAAUUAAUAAUAGACUUUCUCUGUUCUGGUUUCAACUGAAUUUCGAAGCCUAAAUACUUGAAAUACAAGAAAGAGUUUACUCCAAAGCAUUAACAGGCAUAUUUUUUGUGCGAAAUAUACGGCUAUCGCUAUUCAAUACGCGAGCAAAAUUGUUGUUGACAUUUGAGUUACGUAAUUACUUCCGUAAUUACUUCCUGCAUGAUUAUCCAUUUCCCAAUGUAAAUAAUCUGUCCAAUGACAGUUGAUACCCUUGGAAGGAGUUUGCUGAA